CAUAACUUAGAAACAACAGUUGCCAACCCUGUGUUUGAUUUCUUAUGAGUUGCCACAACCUGUGAGCAAUUUGCAUAACUAACAUACUAUCAUUAGUUCAUUUCCUAAUGGCCUGGCCUGACUCUAAAUAAAACCUAAUGUUGGGAGCUAAUCAGAGGCAUCAGCAAGAAUGGCCCCUGCCUCAGCAGUUCUCACAUGUCAGCGUGCCCACACCUCUGCAGACUGGGCUUUGGAAAUACAGCUCCGGUAACUGGAAAAAUGCAGAAAAAGAGAAGAGGAGGAAGAAGAGGAGAAAAAGGAAAAGGAAGAGGAAGCUUUUCAAAUGUGCCAAACUGCAUUAGUUGCUUCUCAGUCUUAAUUAAUUUCCUCCUUCCCUGAGGCAACUGCUCCUCUGUCAGGCACUAUCUGAAUGAAAGGUGACAGUCAUGAUCUCAUAAAAAGGGUUUCCUGCUCUAGAUCAGAAUUGACGUGGGUUUGGAUUUUGACUCUGGCAAUUAUUAGCUGUGUGAACCUGGAUGAUUUACUUAAAUUCCUGUACCUGUUUCCUCAUCUCUGUAAUGAGAAUACAAACUGUACUUAGUAAAUUUGCUUUCAAGAUUGGAUAAUUUAUGCAAAAUUCUUAGCACACACCCUGACACACAGAAAAGUCUGAAAAUACAAAAUUUCUUUAGUGAUGUUGUUUUGUUUUGUUUUUUGAUACUGGAGAUUAAACCCAAGGCUUCUGGCCUGAGCUACAUCCCCUUUUUAAUUUUUUUAUUGUGAAAUAGUCUUCUUAAUUCAUUAAGUUGCCCAAGCUGGGCUCAAACUUGUGAUCUUCCUGCCUCAGUUUCACAAGAACUUGGAAGAUGAAAGAAGGUUGUAUUAGGAACUGAAUCCUUAACUGUGCAGAAAGUAUCCAUGAUGUAUUUAACAUAGCUGAACAGUGGGAUUAUCACCAAGAAACUAUCAGGACAUAUCUCCUACGUUACAAAAGGGGUCUUAGCAGCAAAGCUCUUUGCUGGCAUUUGAGAGACUGUUGAGUCGAACAUUCAGUGAGCAACUAGUAUUUACCAAGGGCAGUGAGAUUUCAUGUAAUAGUGUGGUAGUGAGCAGAUUAGCUGUCAUCACAGAGUGUGAGAAGAAAUGCUGUCACAGACAGGAGGAUUU